AUGGACACUAUGAAGUAGAAUCGGUUAAUUUCCCCACUUGAGCAUUAUGACAUAGCAACGGUGCGUGAGCUUUAUGCAAACGCACUGCCUGAUGACGACGAGCCCUUUACUUGGAUAUCUAGGGUGGCCGGCCGUCCAGUUGCAUUUGAUAGGGAUGCCAUUAACCGAGUCCUUGGUGAGCCGCUCCAGCUGGGAGCUGAGGAAAGAGACACAUACCACACUG
rnacentral:lncRNA from 1 species